GGGGCCGUAGCGCAGAGGUCGUCGCGCCGCCGUUGCAUGGCGAGAGGACGCCGGUUCGAAUCCGGCCGGCUCCA
rnacentral:tRNA from 1 species